CAGCAGUGGGGAAUAUUGCACUAAUGGGGGAAACCCUGAUGCUAGCCAUGCCGUCGUGUGUGAAGAAGGUCCUUCGGGUUGUAAAGCACUUUCAGUAGGGAGGAAGGUUAGUGUAGUUAACACCUGCAUUAUUUGACGUUACCUACAGAAGAAGCACCGGCUAACUCCGUGCCAGCAGCCGCGGUAAUACGGAGGGUGCGAGCGUUAAUCGGAAUUACUGGGCGUAAAGCGCAUGCAGGCGGCCUGUUAAGUCAGAUGUGAAAGCCCGGGGCUUAACCUCGGAAUUGCAUUUGAAACUGGCAGGCUAGAGUCUUGUAGAGGGGGUAGAAUUUCAGGUGUAGCGGUGAAAUGCGUAGAGAUCUGAAGGAAUACCAGUGGCGAAGGCGGCCCCCUGGACAAAGACUGACGCUCAGAUGCGAAAGCGUGGGGAGCAAACAGGAUUAGAUACCCUGGUAG
rnacentral:rRNA from 1 species